UAGCAAUUAACAGAAUAUAUCCCCCCAGAGGGAGGAUGGGUCUGCCCCACCAGGUUUUAACAGAUGGUAAUAGAACACAUACUUUUGGUUAUAUCUUGCAUUGCAACCCAAGACAUUUUGGAAAUCAGCAUUUUGUCACCUCUUCUGGUGUCUCAGUCAGGAAUACCCAGUGCCAGAUCAUGUACCUGGCCAAGAGCUGAAGGAUUUUGGGAACUUUCAAGGAGAGAGGUUUACAUCACUGGGGUUGUCAUCUAUAGGCUGGGGGCUUUUCCAGGCACAGUACUCAGCUCCUCUUCUAGAGCUGGAAGCUGGUCUGCUUCUCCCUGGCUUUCUCUGAGUGGCUGUUCCAUGCUGCCUGGCUUCUGUGAGUGCUUGCUGGUUGUCUGCCUCAUCUGUGCUUUAGCCUUACUGCUGGAAUGGAGCUCUUUAAGGGCUGUGUCAGCCCACUAACACCUUUGGUGUGGAUGCAGCAUCCUCGUUCUUCGCUUGGAACUGGUAGAAGCCAUCACAUUAGUACCACUGAGUUCUCCUGGGGGAGCAAAGAGCUUCAUGGUGUGGCACAGGCAACUGAGAUUCUGCUCAGGGGUUUUAGAUGACGAUUGCAGUUUGAAUUGCUGAAUCCUUGGACUUACAGAGGAAAAUAAUCAGCCUUGUUUAUGAGCUGGGCAGUUGGACUGCAGACCCCAGAAGGUUCUUCCCACCAGCAUGUCUCUGUUUUUGGUAACUGAGGCAAAACUAGAAAGCUGAGCUUCAGGUCUCCAUUUGUGGAAAAAGAUGGAAGGAGGCCCAGCUUUCCUGACUACACAAGGAGAGUAAAUAAAUAUGAUUAAAUAAACAGG